rnacentral:rRNA from 1 species
CUGACUCCUUGAGAGUCCUGAAGGAACGUUGAAGACGACGACGUUGAUAGGCCGGGUGUGUAAGCGCAGCGAUGCGUUGAGCUAACCGGUACUAAUGAACCGUGAGGCUUAACCUU